UCCACUUAGGACAUUAAAAUCAUCCAAUCAAGAGAUCCCUUUUUGACACGUCAACAAGCCCAGCUCCGUUGCUUUGGUUCUUCUUCACGCCUUUCGCGAUCCGAGAGGCGAUAAAUUCGACGUUUCCCUUUUUCAUUUCUCCAGAUCCCGUUUUGCUAGAUCGAAUCGUGAAACCCUUUGCUUUUCCUCUCUUAAUCCACGUUAUCCGGUGAUCCUAAAAGAAGUGUUAUUAUAUCUCGAUGGAUUCCGAUGGGAUCUAAACGCAGCGAUGGAGGCUUGCCGCAGAAAACCUUGCCGGCAGCCAAGACCGGGAAAUCAAAGGACAAAGGUUUUUUUUUUUGGGACUUGGCGGUCUGGAUCCACAUCCUCAACCUCCAACAUCGAGAGACCAGCUCGGUUUUGGACAAUCUGCUCGGUCUUGGACAAUCUCCCCGUAUGAAUCUUAUAAUCGCCUCUGCCGCCACCGUUCAUCGUCUUCAUGGUUAUAGUGGCCAAUGCUCCGGUAAUACUUGGAAGGAGUGACGAUAGUGAUGAUGACUCCGCUGGUGAAAACGUAAGAUCAACUGGUCUAGAUAGUCAGCCAUCUGUAUCAGUCGUGCUUUCGAAAACCAAGGAGAAAAUCGCUUGCUUCACCGCCGACCAACCACGCCAGCAGAAGAAGCACAAGAGUCAGAGCACUGUUAGUGAUGCCAACGCUGGAGUCGACCCUGAGAGAAUCUUCUCUCAAUUUCACUGAGAAAGUAAUGAAUGGCUCUUUGUAACAGUUUCUAAAUAAGGUUCUUCGUUGCGUAAAUCUUUUAAAGACAAUGCAAAUGAGAUUCUCAAACGUCACUUCAAUCUCAAACAAAGAUUUUGCUUCAAGGUUUCAGUUAAUGGGGAUGCAUAGACACAUGGAAUAGCGAGUUGAUUUUAUGGACUGGGGUCCAGGUGCUCACUGUGGUGAAUAAUCAUGGUUUUUCAAGGGAUGAUUUUAACAUCGAGCAUAAAAUCCAUCAAAGGACGUUAAUUCGGAAAUGCUACAAUGAGUUUUUUAUCUUCUAAAAUUUGUUUUAAAGUUCUUCGAAAUGGUCUAGAAAAGCCUUCCAUUGAUUUUGCAGAUUUUCUUACAUACGCAGAGCCAGAAACUGUCGUCCUUCUUCUCAAGUUUUCCAACUCUGGUGCUGUCUUGAAUGUUUAAAUUGAGAAGAUCCAAGGAGGCAAUGAUUUAAGAUUUGUUAUAUGAAAAUAAGGUCAAUACUUUCCAAGGAGGAUAGCUUCUGAAGCCCUAUCAAGCAAUGAUGAAUUAAAGGGAUAUAAAGAAGAUGGCUAUGAGUGUUGGUCUAGGAGUUUCAACUGAUUCUAUUGGUGAAUCAGGUGGAUGGAUGGUUCGGAAGGGAAUGCACACUCGCCAGUUCCUGCAACAAAGAACGGACACUGACGAUCAAACAGAGACAGGUGAAACAUGGACUCCACUUCUGAACAUGUACAAAGCCCAAAUGCAAUUCUGCAAGAUACUUUUUCAAGCAGAUUAUAUCAAGAGCGAGUGAUUGCCAUGAUGUAGUAAGGAAUGACUUACGAAGGUCUACUCAACUCCCACAGACAUACUAAAGCUUUGUUUAUCAUCCCUGUAGUCACAUUAUUUUCAAUAUUCUUAUAGCAAAUACACCAAACUUAGAGGAAAUUGGAAAUAUACCACUUUGUUUAUAAUCAGGGUCGAAUGAAACCAUUUAUGACAUUGAAUUUCCAUUUUGGUGAAAAGAGUUCUGUGUUUGGGUAA